rnacentral:rRNA from 1 species
CCUACGGGAGGCAGCAGUGGGGGAUAUUGCACAAUGGGGGGAACCCUGAUGCAGCGACGCCGCGUGGGUGAAGGAGCGUUUCGGCGCGUAAAGCCCUAUCGGCAGGGAAGAAAAUGACGGUACCUGACCAAGAAGCCCCGGGUAACUACGUGCCAGCAGCCGCGGUAACACGUAGGGGGCAAGCGUUAUCCGGAUUUACUGGGUGAAAAGGGGGCGCAGACGGCAAUGCAAGCCAGGAGGGAAAGCCCGGGGCCCAACCCCAGGACUGCUCUUGGAACUGCAUGGCUGGAGUACAGGAGGGGCAGGCGGAAUUCCUAGUGUAGCGGUGAAAUGCGUAGAUAUUAGGAGGAACACCGGUGGCGAAGGCGGCCUGCUGGACUGUGACUGACGUUGAGGCCCGAAGGCGUGGGUAGCAAACAGGAUUAGAUACCCGUGUAGUC